AUUUUAUAAUGAUACAUCCUUCGACCAUAUAAACUAGUUUAUACAAAAAUUAUGAUCAUGAAGAACAUAUCCCUAUUAGAAACCAUUUGAUGGACCACAACUAUAUUUUGCCUGAUGUGUUUGAAAAUAAUGUUGAGGAAGUAGGUGUAUCAUUGAAUGAAGAUGUCGAAGUGAUAGCAGUGACAGAAAUAUAUCAAAUCAUUCCUGGUGUUCAAAAUCGAACACGUAUUGAUGUGGUGGAUAAUUUAGGAUUAAAAUAUAAACGUGGUAUUAUACCAUUAUAUAUAAAUAUUACACGUGGUAAUCGUGUAUAUCUCAUAUAUAGACACAAGUGAUCGAGGAUGAAAAUAAGCAUUACCUAAAAUAUAGUAAAGAAAAUUGAUUUUGACAACAAAUAAAUGUUCUACGGAACAGGGAGUCAAUAUUUCCAUUUUUAACUGCCACUACUGACAGAAGUUAAGGAGUUUGAAAAAAUAUCUUCAGAAUACUUCACCUGAGUUAUGGCUUAUAGGCUUGAUCUUUUUUCCAUUUAUAGAUAUGUAAAUAUAAUGAAUGAUAUGGUAAUAUAUAAGUUUUCCAAUAGUGGUAAACUGGUAAAGCUAGACGAUUAAAAUUAAAAAUCUAAUUUAGUUGUAGGUUUAGUUUAUGGUUUUUUAAUUCAUAUGUUAAUGCUAUUAUAGUUUUAUUUUGUAAUGUAAUAUGUAGCUGAUUAGUGCUUCGCCAAAAAAUACUUGGAUAUGCCACUGAAUGUUAUAAAUAUUCAUGUACUAGACUCCAUACUUCCAACUAAGAUUUGCUUAUA